CCAAUAGCGUAUAUUAAAGUUGUUGCAGUUAAAAAGCUCGUAGUUGAAUUUCGGGACUAAUAUGUCGGUCGUGCCUCGGUACGUACUGGUAUUUUUGGUUUCUCCCUUCUGACGAACCUUGAUGUCAUUAAUUUGGUGUCUUGGGAAAUCAGGACUGUUACUUUGAAAAAAUUAGAGUGUUUAAAGCAGGCUCACGCUUGAAUACAUUAGCAUGGAAUAAUGAAAUAGGACGGUUGAUUCUAUUUUGUUGGUUUCUAGGAUCGACGUAAUGAUUAAUAGGGAUAGUUGGGGGCAUUAGUAUUCAAUUGUCAGAGGUGAAAUUCUUGGAUUUAUUGAAGACUAACUACUGCGAAAGCAUUUGCCAAGGAUGUUUUCAUUAAUCAAGAACGAAAGUUAGGGGAUCGAAGACGAUCAGAUACCGUCGUAGUCUUAACCAUAAACUAUGCCGACUAGGGAUCGGAUGAUGUUAAUUUUUUAAUGACUCAUUCGGCGCCUUACG
rnacentral:misc_RNA from 1 species